AACCAAAACCAACUAAUCACCAAUUAAAGAAGAGAGACAGCCCAGUCAUUAAGGACUUGAUGUGGAGAACUUUUGCACAUAGAGGAACAUACGACAUACAAAUGAGCAUCAGUGACAUGAAGCACAGGUGGCCUACCUUGUUUAAUGUCUCACAGGAGAGGAAGGUGCCAGAAGGGAGGUGAAAGGACACCAAAACUGAUGUCCUUGUUUCCAGCAAGGAAAAGCGAUGUCAGAGCAACAAUUCAAGCACAGACGAACAUUCUACUUCAGAUGGAAUCCAACGUGAGCAGACAAGGGACGUUGUCAUCCGAUUCCUUAUUGACUAUCUUGCUGAACAUGCUAGUGCCCUUUUCAAGGACUUUGAGGAUGCUGGGGAUGGAUCAACCAGCAUUCAAGAGCAGAUGGCAGAUGAAGUGAUGGCGAUUUACCUGUUGCGGAAAGAUGGGU